CCCUUCCACUCUAUUCCAUUGAUGCAAAUUUUUCUCUUUUUUUCAUGAUUGACCACUCGCAAUGGAGUUGGAAGCAGGAGGGAUGUGGGUCAGGCAUCUGCAUGUGCUACUGAAUUCGAUUGAUGGUUCUUGAUUGCUGAGUAAUUCCUGUUAGUUGUUAUAUGUGCUGCUGAAUUCUCCAGUAGGGACUUGAUUCAUGUUGGUUGCUGACUUCGUUGUUGAUUGUUGAUUGUCGAGAGAAAAUCCAAGUGAGCGGUUGCAUGCUGGCGCUGGCGAUGCAUCUUCUCCCGCCCAUGCAGCCUCCCCACUAUGCCUCCACACCCAGAUUUGAGUCCUCUCGGUCUCCAUCCCCCGUCUAUGGUCGGCAACAGCAAUCAUAAUGAUAGCGAAGUGGUGCGACCAGGGGAUGGCAUACAUACGUUGUUGCCGUCGGCUGGCCUCUGCUCGCAUUCAGGAAUGAUGCGUGUUUGCUUUACUGUAGGUGCUUUGGCGCUCUGUAUUUGCUUGUUGUAGAUGCUCUGCUUCCUCUGUUUGCUGCUUUGUCGUGUAGCAAUCAGGUGGUUUGUAGCUGCUGAUGUAAUCCAAGAUGAAGCAGGCACACAUGUGGACGCUGCUUCUCGCUUGUCUAGCUGCAACUGAUCGCUGGACAAUCACUUAGGGCAGUAUCAUUGCCAUAUAAUUAUUGUAGAGUUGUGUAAGUUUGAUUCAUGAAUGAUAGGACCAAGGAAGGAUAAAUGAAAUGCUUUGCAGUUCAAAAGAGAGUUAACAAUGAUUUAACGACGUUGGAUGGCUGAAUGUGCUCCUAAAGAAGAGGUCGGCUGCUAACAGGUUCCAGGUGGCUGGGAUUGAGGAAAUUAUAUCAGGAAACGAUUUUACAAGGAUGCAUCCCUUUUUACAUGGGGAAGCAGAUAACAAUAACGAACCAAGCAAGAUGACUAUGGUGCGUGACCUCAAGCUGUGAUAGGACAAAAACUGGAUCUUCUGUGCCCGUUGAAGAUGAGAUGGAUGAAGUUACUGAUGAAGCAAUUGGUGCAAAGCUCAAUAUUUUAUAUACACAGAAAAGGGCAAUUUCUUCAGAACUUGCCACUGCUCAUGCAUGUGAAAAGAACAUAGCUGAUAAAAACAAGUCUCUUAAGCACAAGGUAAGGAAGUCAUUCUCGGAGAAGCAGAGAUUGUUGUAACAACGCUUAGUGGGUGUGGAGGUGAUAUUUACGGAGUUUGCUCGGAAACUGCUUCAACUAAGAAAUAUGGAAAUUUCUCUGAGCAAGCUUUAUUUGAUGUUUUUGUUAUCGAUUUAAGCUGCACAGGUGGGGUCUCGGACUCUCAAUACAAACUAUCCUCUUUCAAAUCAAGCUAGCUUUAUAUUUAAUAUUUAUUAUAUGCUAAACACUAAGCUUCUUUUGGUUUACUCAUAUUUAGGCUCUUGAGCAUGCAACUUUGAUUCCACUUUAGCUACUCAAGUCAAAAGGAACUAAGUGCAUAAUGUACCGAAUGCAUCCUUACAUUAGCAGAUUCCCAUCGUUGCAUUUCUAUGAAAACAAACUGCUGGAUGGUGCUCAGAAGGCUGAGAAAUCAGAUCCUUUCCAUGAUCACCGUUGUCUUGGUCCAUACAUGUUCUUUGAUAUUGCCGAUGGUCAUGAGCAUGCUGGAACAAGUGCUGCUGCACAAUUACUCUCUAAUCAAUUUGAAGCUGGUGCAUCACUUGAAAUACUGUCAUUUUUAAAGAACAAAUAUCCAACAGAUUUCUCCUGUAGAAAGAUAGGGAUCAUAACUUAUGGCUAUGUUGUGGAAGAGUUCUUGCGGGUAGCAUCUUUCCAUUGUCUGUAAAUUGAUGUAUAAAGCGGGCAUUCCAUUCUUUAUAAAUUGAUAGAUAAAAUGGAUGCAUGUGUGAGCUUGAGAAAGAAGGAGACGACAAGUGAAAGACUGAGAAGACCAGGGAUUCUUCUUUGCCAGCCGUAAGGUGGAGGCGUUGCUUAGGGAACAUGUGCGUACAUCCUUGCUCCUUUUAUUCUUCCAGUUUUAGGUACUUUCCAGCAGGCUUGUACGGAGUACCUAUCUUGCUAUGUACUGAAUUAUUUGCAACUAUGUAGCAAACUAUAUUAGGAGAUCCAGAUAUAUAAUGCGUCUGUGUACAACAACAACAACAACAACAAAGCCUUUAGUCCCAAACAAGUUGGGGUAGGCUAGAGGUGAAACCCAUAAGAUCUCGUAACCAACUCAUGGCUCUGGCACAUGGAUAGCAAGCUUCCACGCACCCCUGUCCAUAGCUAGCUCUUUGUCGAUACUCCAAUCCUUCAGGUCUCUCUUAACGGACUCCUCCCAUGUCAUAUAUAAUGCGUCUGUGUAUGAAUUAAUUAUUACCAUCACCUAGCUAGCUUGUUACCUGAAAGAUCGAGGUGAACUUUUAUUGUAUGGAUGUUGUGUCGCUGGAAUUCUGUGAUGUUUCAGGAACACAUUGUUUUUUCAUUUUUGGGACUUCAUGUGAGUUUUGGGCCGUGGCUCCCUCAAAUCAAGUCGGAUC